rnacentral:ncRNA from 1 species
CGAGACGGCACCUCGUACGGGGUCCGUCCGAGCCGCUUCGGCGGCCGGAUGCAAGGACCCGCGAUGACCCGUAGGGGUGAGAGGAGUUCGCGCAUG